UGAGUAACACAGAUGAUCGCGCCGAAAAUUCCGAAAGGAUACCGGUGAGGAAAGUCCGAGCUUCACAGGGCAGGGUGCCGGAUAACGUCCGGUAGAGGCGACUCUCAGGAAAGUGCAACAGAAAUAAACCGCCAAAUUAUAUUUGGUAAGGAUGGAAAGGUGGAGUAAGAGCCCACCGCUUGGUUGGUAACAAUCAAGGCAAUGCAAACCCCACCCGAAGUAAGACCGAAUUAUAAGCGUAGGCUGCCCGCUAGCUUAAGGUAGGUCGCAAUUUGUUGUAGGACAAAUGAGCUAUGUGGUAACAUAUAGCAAAGAUAGAUGAUCAUCUAAUACAGAACUCGGCUUAUAGUGUUACUCACUUA
rnacentral:RNase_P_RNA from 1 species